AGUCAAAACGACUCUCGGCAACGGAUAUCUCGGCUCUUGCAUCGAUGAAGAACGUAGCGAAAUGCGAUACUUGGUGUGAAUUGCAGAAUCCCGUGAACCAUCGAGUCUUUGAACGCAAGUUGCGCCCAAAGCCAUUAGGCUAAGGGCACGUCUGCCUGGGUGUCACUAA
rnacentral:rRNA from 1 species